AGCACGGAACUGAAGCCUCCUCUCUGGGACCCCGAGGACCCCGCCUCCCAGCUUCGGUCAUGAGCACGUGGACAGGCUCGCCACGGGGUGCAGUGCUGCGAACAGGGAGAGAGGCAGGCGGACACACACCACCGUGCAUGAGGGCCACAGAGGGGCACAGGGGCGGGCAGACGACGGGCGCCAGGAGACGUGACACAGCAGCCGACACCAGGGAGGAGGACACAUUCGCACAGCGACUGGGAAGACGCGAGGGCGAGGGGCUCCUCCAAGGGGAAGCUCGGGGUCCUCUAGGUCACGGCUGCCAACUCAGCCUUCACCCCGAAGGGCAGCGAGCUGCAACUACUCCGGGUUAAGCAGGAAGUGGCCUGAGACGUGAGAUUCCAGAAGGCGGUGCUGGCAGCUGAGUGGACUCCCGGGUGAGAGGACCAGCAGAUGGCCAGGCCCCCAGAGCAGAACAGAGGCCCACAGCGCCCCACACCCGCCAGCUGGGCUGCGCCACACGGGGCAGGGAGGGUCACCUCUCCCCAUGGACAACACUGGUCUACAGAUGCUCUCCGUGCACAGGGCUGGUCCAGAUAUAGCCCGCUCCCCGAAUGGAACCAGUGCAAACACAAGGCAGAAACGAGGCCUCUCGCUGAGACAGAAAGUGCUAUGGGAACUCGAGGGAUGAAGAAGUCCCUUCCGAGUGGCAGGCGGGGCAGCAGCUGAGAGAAGGCAAGCCCUGAGCCGGGCCCUGAGAACAAGGAACACUCUGGAUGGUGACAGGGGCAGAGCAGAGACGGCGUGGCGUGCAUGCCACACAGAGGGCUGGCCCGGCUGGCUGCCAUGUGUCACCAACGGGGAAGCGAUCGGAAGGAACCUUCCAGAAGCAGCAGGCGUGCCCCGCGCAAACAACUCAGAGACACGGCUCCUCGAUGCAGUUCCACUUCUGCCAUGGCCAGCCCCUUCCAGAGACCCCACCAGCGAGUGCGGUCACCAGGGAGGGCCCGGCCUGGCAGGUGGGAGCUGCUGGGCAGGGGGCCACCUCCUCCACGGAUCCAGGCUUUCUCACACGCUGGCCUUCCGAGGAACAGAGGAGGGCCGAGAGAUCUACUAGCACAACCAGGUUGGCCAAAGUCCCACCCUCGGAGGCCCCUUCUGCUCCUGGAGGCCCCUGCUCCAGUCCUUCCACGGGCUCCUGAGUCAGCUCUCAGACAGAUCCCCCGCUUCCUGGGCAGGCGCAGGGCCUGGGACCGCGGUGACUUUGGCUCCAGUUACUGUACCCACCCAAGAGCCCUCUGGGGUAACAGGCUAGGGGGGCCUGGGUUCCAAAUACUGUCCACCCACCCCAAUCAUGGCAGUGUCCCACACCCGUGUCCCAACCCCUGA
rnacentral:lncRNA from 1 species